rnacentral:rRNA from 1 species
CUUCCACAAUGGGCGAAAGCCUGAUGGAGCAACGCCGCGUGAGUGAAGAAGGUUANCGNNUCGUANANCUCUGUUGUAAGGGANNNNNAAGUACAGUAGAAACUGCCUGUACCAUGACGGUACAUUAUUAGGCAGCCAAGGCUAACUACGUGCCAGCAGCCGCGGUAAUACGUAGGUGGCAAGCGUUGUCCGGAAUUAUUGGGCGUAAAGCGCGCGCAGGCGGUCCUUUAAGUAUGAUGUGAAAGCCCACGGCUCAACCGUGGAGGGUCAUUGGAAACUGGGGGAAUUGAGUGCAGAAGAGGAGAGUGGAAUUCCAAGUGUAGCGGUGAAAUGCGUAGAGAUUUGGAGGAACACCAGUGGCGAAGGCGACUUUCUGGUCUGUAACUGACGCUGAGGCGCGAAAGCGUGGGGAGCAAACAGG